UGUUACGUUGGGCGGGAUCUGCCACCGG
rnacentral:piRNA from 1 species